rnacentral:rRNA from 1 species
GACGAACGCUGGCGGCGUGCUUAACACAUGCAAGUCGAACGGAAGGGCCCUGCGUUUGUGGGGUUCUCGAUUGGCGAACGGGUGAGUAACACGUGAGUAACCUGCCCUUGACUUUGGGAUAACUUCAGGAAACUGGGGCUAAUACCGGAUAGGAUCUCCUGCUGCGUGGUGGGGGUUGGAAAGUUUCGGCGGUUGGGGAUGGACUCGCGGCUUAUCAGCUUGUUGGUGGGGUAGUGGCUUACCAAGGCUUUGACGGGUAGCCGGCCUGAGAGGGUGAACGGCCACAUUGGGACUGAGAUAGGGACCAGACUGCUACGGGAGGCAGCAGUGGGGAAUAUUGCACAAUGGGCGGAAGCGUGAUACAGAAACGCCGCGUGCGGGAUGACGGCUUUUGGGUUGUAAACCGCUUUCGCCUGUGACGAAGCGUGAGUGACGGUAAUGGGUAAAGAAGCACCGGCUAACUACGUG